ensembl:lncRNA
AAUAUCUACCAGCAGGGGCUAGCAAGUCAUGCUAGUCAAACUAAUUUUGACCACCUGAUUUAAACAGGCUUACAGAAGAGUUGUAUGUUCUUCAUAUUUGCACAUAGGCCUACAUAUGAGCAAUAUCGUGGUGAUGUACUUUAGUGUUGUUGCUACACUGUUUUUUGAUUAGAUUUUCUUCUAUACUGUGUGUCAACAUGAGAAUUGUCAUAUUUAUUGUUACACUGAUCAAUCUCUCAGGUUUUUCUCAUAGUAACAAAGUCAACCAGUCUCCACCUGAUAUAAUUAAGAAACAAGGCGAAUCUGCAGAGAUCCGGUGUUUGCACAGUGUAUCCAGUUACAAUCAGAUCAACUGGUACAAACAGGGCCAAGGGUUCACAUUAAUGGGAUAUUUGGUUGCAACAUCAAACUUCAGCGAAAAAGAAUUCACAGAUAAAAUAAUCAUGUCUGGGAAUGGAAAUAGCAAUGGACUUUUAACCAUAAAAAAUCUCGCAUCUAGUGACAGUGCAGUGUAUUUUUGUGCAGCAUAUUACACAGUGUUUUAGAUCACUGCUGUUCAUAACAAAAACUUCACUUAAAUUCUGUGAUUAACAGAUAAAGCAAAAUGAAAGAAAGCCUUCAUUCACACCUGCUCCUGUGGUUUAUAUUUGAGACUUAUCCGUGAGAAUGUGUAUUACUGGGUUCAGCUGAAGUGGUUUGGGUCUUACACAGUUAUUACACUUACACAACUUCACUAAGACGUAUCGCGUCUGUAUGUUCCUUUCUGAUGUCUGUGGGAAUUGAAGGCCAGAUUGAGGUGGAUAAAACCAAAUUCUGGAAGUUAAUCUAUUUCAGUAAAAGAAUCCAAUUUUAUCAUAGUGAACACCUUGAUUGAUCGGCUGUACUGCUCUCUCUCUCUCUCUCUCUCUCUCUCUAUAUAUAUAUAAAAAAACAUAAACUGAAUUAGUGCAAUUACUAUUAAGACCAGCAGGGAUCUCCUUUCAACCUAAUUUAAAUAAAGAUGCAUUUCUCUAAGACA